ACGAACGCUGGCGGCGUGCCUAAUACAUGCAAGUCGAACGAACUCUGGUAUUGAUUGGUGCUUGCAUCAUGAUUUACAUUUGAGUGAGUGGCGAACUGGUGAGUAACACGUGGGAAACCUGCCCAGAAGCGGGGGAUAACACCUGGAAACAGAUGCUAAUACCGCAUAACAACUUGGACCGCAUGGUCCGAGCUUGAAAGAUGGCUUCGGCUAUCACUUUUGGAUGGUCCCGCGGCGUAUUAGCUAGAUGGUGGGGUAACGGCUCACCAUGGCAAUGAUACGUAGCCGACCUGAGAGGGUAAUCGGCCACAUUGGGACUGAGACACGGCCCAAACUCCUACGGGAGGCAGCAGUAGGGAAUCUUCCACAAUGGACGAAAGUCUGAUGGAGCAACGCCGCGUGAGUGAAGAAGGGUUUCGGCUCGUAAAACUCUGUUGUUAAAGAAGAACAUAUCUGAGAGUAACUGUUCAGGUAUUGACGGUAUUUAACCAGAAAGCCACGGCUAACUACGUGCCAGCAGCCGCGGUAAUACGUAGGUGGCAAGCGUUGUCCGGAUUUAUUGGGCGUAAAGCGAGCGCAGGCGGUUUUUUAAGUCUGAUGUGAAAGCCUUCGGCUCAACCGAAGAAGUGCAUCGGAAACUGGGAAACUUGAGUGCAGAAGAGGACAGUGGAACUCCAUGUGUAGCGGUGAAAUGCGUAGAUAUAUGGAAGAACACCAGUGGCGAAGGCGGCUGUCUGGUCUGUAACUGACGCUGAGGCUCGAAAGUAUGGGUAGCAAACAGGAUUAGAUACCCUGGUAGUCCAUACCGUAAACGAUGAAUGCUAAGUGUUGGAGGGUUUCCGCCCUUCAGUGCUGCAGCUAACGCAUUAAGCAUUCCGCCUGGGGAGUACGGCCGCAAGGCUGAAACUCAAAGGAAUUGACGGGGGCCCGCACAAGCGGUGGAGCAUGUGGUUUAAUUCGAAGCUACGCGAAGAACCUUACCAGGUCUUGACAUACUAUGCAAAUCUAAGAGAUUAGACGUUCCCUUCGGGGACAUGGAUACAGGUGGUGCAUGGUUGUCGUCAGCUCGUGUCGUGAGAUGUUGGGUUAAGUCCCGCAACGAGCGCAACCCUUAUUAUCAGUUGCCAGCAUUAAGUUGGGCACUCUGGUGAGACUGCCGGUGACAAACCGGAGGAAGGUGGGGAUGACGUCAAAUCAUCAUGCCCCUUAUGACCUGGGCUACACACGUGCUACAAUGGAUGGUACAACGAGUUGCGAACUCGCGAGAGUAAGCUAAUCUCUUAAAGCCAUUCUCAGUUCGGAUUGUAGGCUGCAACUCGCCUACAUGAAGUCGGAAUCGCUAGUAAUCGCGGAUCAGCAUGCCGCGGUGAAUACGUUCCCGGGCCUUGUACACACCGCCCGUCACACCAUGAGAGUUUGUAACACCCAAAGUCGGUGGGGGUAACCUUUUUAGGAACCAGCCGCCUAAGGUGGGACAGAUGAUUAGGGUGAAGUC
rnacentral:rRNA from 2 species